rnacentral:rRNA from 1 species
UACGAGGGGGGCAAGCGUUGUUCGGAAUUAUUGGGCGUAAAGGGCGCGUAGGCGGUUUGUACAGUCAGAUGUGAAAUUCCUGGGCUCAACCUGGGGGCUGCAUUUGAUACGUGCGGACUGGAGUGGGGAAGAGGGUCGUGGAAUUCCCAGUGUAGAGGUGAAAUUCGUAGAUAUUGGGAAGAACACCGGUGGCGAAGGCGGCGAUCUGGGUCGAUACUGACGCUGAGGUGCGAAAAGCGUGGGGAGCAAACAGG